UGCUAAUUUAUUUUUCUUUUUCUUUUCAUACUGGUAAUUUAGCCAAUGCUUUUAUGUUAAAAAAUCUAUUUAAAAUAUAUAUAUUAAAACAAAAAUUAAUGUUAUAUACAUUAAUUGAAUAACUUUACCAAAGAAACAAAUUAUAAAGUAUUUGUGUUUAGUAUGUAUAAUAUAUAUGUAGAACUACAGUAUAACAAAUGUACAAAGUAAACAAAUAUAUAAUCAAAUGCUCAAAAAUAAUAUAUCAGUCAUUCUUAUCAAAAUAUUUUGAAGAAUUUUUAUUUGAAAACAUAUAUUUUUUGUUUAACAUGUAUAACAUUAAAUAUCUCAAAAAUAAAUGUGUUAAUUUUAAAUCAAUUGAUUUUUAUAUACAAGUACAGUACAAAGAUAAAAUAUAUAUUUAAAUAAUUGCAUUAAAUAAUAAGACCAUAUUUAAAUGAAUAAAACGGUGUAAUAUUUUCACUCUAUCAGAUGUUUGAUGAUAUAAUAAUUAUAAUUUAUAUGAAAAUUGAAGAAUAACUAUCAGUAAGUGAAAUAUAAACCUUGAAAUGCUGAAAUAUUUAUAUCUAUUGAUUGAAUCAAAAUCCUACAAACUAGAUUUUGAAAUAAGACCCAUCUUCAAUAAAUAUUAUAAUAGAGUAAAUGAACAAAGUAAUUUUACUUGAGAGUGUAAAAUCAUUACUUGGUAUCUUGGCAGAUUUAAAAAUUUUAGAUAAAAUAAAUACUGUAAAUGAAUAUCGCUAAGUACAGUAUAUAGUAAGUCAUUGAAAACAGUAGACCAAAGAUUGUUGCAGUAGACUCUUAUACAGACCCAUACUUGUCAGAUGCAUAACAAUAGAUAACUGAUUCACAUUAUACUAGUAUUAUCAAAUAAUAGUGUAUGUAGUGUUGCUAUAAUUUCAAAAAAUCCUUAAAAUAUGUCAAAAAUUGCUAAAUUCCUUUUCUGCUAUUGUCCCAAUUAAGCAAAAAGUUAUCC
rnacentral:lncRNA from 1 species